rnacentral:rRNA from 1 species
AUGUAAAUCUUUGUGUGUUUUGUCAUAUAAUUUAAUAUUAUAUGGGUUUUAUUUAGUCGCAGUAAUUAGUAUUAAUUUUUAAGGAAACUUAGAAUUAGGAAUAUUAAAUAGUAUUAGCUAAAUUUGUGCCAGCAGCUGCGGUUAUACAAAUGAUACGAAUAAAUUUUAUUAGUAAGAGUUAAAUUUUAUUAAUAUUAUAAAUAUAGUAGUAAAUUUAUUAGGUAAAAUUUUAAAUUUAUUGAUUAUUUAUUUUUAUUUUGUUGAAGCUCGGAAAUUUUAGAUUUAAACUAGGAUUAGAUACCCUAUUAUUUAAAAUGUAGUUUGUUUAUUAGAGUAGUAAUAGUUAUGUUCUUGAAACUUAAAAAAUUUGGCGGUAUUUUAGUCUAAUCAGAGGAACCUGUUCCGUAAUCGAUAAUCCACGUUGGACCUUACUUAAGUUUGUUUAGUUUAUAUAUCGUCGUUAUGAAAAACUUUUUUAGAAAAAUAGUUUUUAGAAAUUAGUAUUAUAAUUUAUAUCAGAUCAAGGUGUAGCUUAUGCUUAAGUGGAAAUGGGUUACAAUAAAUUUAUUUAUAUGGAUUUUUUAUUGAAAGUAAGAAUGAAGGUGGAUUUGAAAGUAAAUUUUUAUAGAUAGAAGAAUUGAAAUUAGCUCUAAGGUAUGUACAUAUCGCCCGUCGCUCUUAUUAUUAAGAUAAGAUAAGUCGUAACAUAGUAGAUGUA